rnacentral:lncRNA from 1 species
UUGAAUACUCGAGAAAUGUCACACUUUCCUUCUUAAAUAAGAUAAGCAAUUGGAAAUUGAAAAUGUGAGAUGAGACAUGGAUUAUAGUCAGCCAUCAAGAAACAAUAUGCUUAAAAGAUCAUGGUCGGCCCCUAACUUCAUCGAUCUAAAUAAAAAACAUCUUCAUCACCAUUAUCAUCAUCUUUUGCGUCCAACACAACUUGAACCUCAUCAAUAUCUUCUUCUUCUUCUUCCUCUUUGAAAUCAUUUAUAUCAUAGACCUUGACCUUAUAACACAUAUGCAAGUAUUAUGCAAAACCAUUUAUUACAUGAGUCUUGAAAGUAAAUCAUAUGGUUCGCAAUU